rnacentral:rRNA from 1 species
AUUGAACGCUGGCGGCAUGCCUUACACAUGCAAGUCGAACGGCAGCACGGGUGCUUGCACCUGGUGGCGAGUGGCGAACGGGUGAGUAAUACAUCGGAACGUACCUUAUCGUGGGGGAUAACGCAGCGAAAGCUGUGCUAAUACCGCAUACGCCCUGAGGGGGAAAGCGGGGGAUCGCAAGACCUCGCGCGAUUAGAGCGGCCGAUGCCUGAUUAGCUAGUUGGUGGGGUAAAAGCCCACCAAGGCGACGAUCAGUAGCCGGUCUGAGAGGACGAUCAGCCACACUGGGACUGAGACACGGCCCAGACUCUUACGGGAGGCAGCAGUGGGGAAUUUUGGACAAUGGGGGCAACCCUGAUCCAGCAAUGCCGCGUGAGUGAAGAAGGCCUUCGGGUUGUAAAGCUCUUUUGUCAGGGAAGAAACACCGGCUCUAACACAGUCCGGGAAUGACGGUACCUGAAGAAUAAGCACCGGCUAACUACGUGCCAGCCGCCGCCGUAA